GACGAACGCUGGCGGCGUGCCUAAUACAUGCAAGUAGAACGCACAGGAUGCACCGUAGUUUACUACACCGUAUUCUGUGAGUUGCGAACGGGUGAGUAACGCGUAGGUAACCUGCCUGGUAGCGGGGGAUAACUAUUGGAAACGAUAGCUAAUACCGCAUAAGAACAUUUACUGCAUGGUAGAUGUUUAAAAGGUGCAAAUGCAUCACUACCAGAUGGACCUGCGUUGUAUUAGCUAGUAGGUGAGGUAACGGCUCACCUAGGCGACGAUACAUAGCCGACCUGAGAGGGUGAUCGGCCACACUGGGACUGAGACACGGCCCAGACUCCUACGGGAGGCAGCAGUAGGGAAUCUUCGGCAAUGGGGGGAACCCUGACCGAGCAACGCCGCGUGAGUGAAGAAGGUUUUCGGAUCGUAAAGCUCUGUUGUUAAGGAAGAACGAGUGUGAGAAUGGAAAGUUCAUACUGUGACGGUACUUAACCAGAAAGGACGGCUA
rnacentral:rRNA from 1 species